rnacentral:sRNA from 1 species
UUUUUGUUCAAUUUUA